AGAUUGGAAUUCCUGGUGUAGCGGUGGAAUGCGCAGAUAUCAGGAGGAACACCGAUGGCGAAGGCAGAUCUCUGGGCCGUAACUGACGCUGAGGAGCGAAAGGGUGGGGAGCAAACAGGCUUAGAUACCCUGGUAGUCCACCCCGUAAACGUUGGGAACUAGUUGUGGGGUCCUUUCCACGGAUUCCGUGACGCAGCUAACGCAUUAAGUUCCCCGCCUGGGGAGUACGGCCGCAAGGCUAAAACUCAAAGGAAUUGACGGGGACCCGCACAAGCGGCGGAGCAUGCGGAUUAAUUCGAUGCAACGCGAAGAACCUUACCAAGGCUUGACAUAUACGAGAACGGGCCAGAAAUGGUCAACUCUUUGGACACUCGUAAACAGGUGGUGCAUGGUUGUCGUCAGCUCGUGUCGUGAGAUGUUGGGUUAAGUCCCGCAACGAGCGCAACCCUCGUUCUAUGUUGCCAGCACGUAAUGGUGGGAACUCAUGGGAUACUGCCGGGGUCAACUCGGAGGAAGGUGGGGAUGACGUCAAAUCAUCAUGCCCCUUAUGUCUUGGGCUUCACGCAUGCUACAAUGGCCGGUACAAAGGGCAGCAAUACCGCGAGGUGGAGCGAAUCCCAAAAAGCCGGUCCCAGUUCGGAUUGAGGUCUGCAACUCGACCUCAUGAAGUCGGAGUCGCUAGUAAUCGCAGAUCAGCAACGCUGCGGUGAAUACGUUCCCGGGUCUUGUACACACCGCCCUGUCAAGUCAUGAAAGUCGGUAUACUACCUGAAGCCGGUAGGCCCAUCACACUGAUCGCAAGGAGCGGUUUAGAUAAGAGGGUGAACCAC
rnacentral:rRNA from 1 species